UACGGAGGGUGCAAGCGUUAUCCGGAUUCACUGGGUUUAAAGGGUGCGUAGGUGGGCAGGUAAGUCAGUGGUGAAAUCUCCGGGCUUAACCCGGAAACUGCCAUUGAUACUAUCUGUCUUGAAUACCGUGGAGGUGAGCGGAAUAUGUCAUGUAGCGGUGAAAUGCUUAGAUAUGAACAUAGAACACCAAUUGCGAAGGCAGCUGGCUACACAAAUAUUGACACUGAGGCACGAAAGCGUGGGGAUCAAACAGG
rnacentral:rRNA from 1 species